GACUACUACCAUGCCACCCUGAACAUGCCCGAUCCCGUCUGAUUUCAGAAGCUAAGCAAGGUCGGGCUUUCUUAGUUCUUGGAUGGGAGGCCACCUAGGAAGACCAGGUGCUGUAGGCC
rnacentral:rRNA from 1 species